rnacentral:misc_RNA from 1 species
UUAAGUUCAGCGGGUAGUCUUGCCUGAUUUGAGGUCAAAAUGUCAAGAGUUGUCCCCUAAGGGACGGUUAGAAGCAGAACCUCAUAAAUGAAGACUUUCAACGGCGUAGAUAAUUAUCACACCAGAGGCGGUCAACAAAGGUUUCACUAAUGCAUUUAAGGAGAGCCGACUUCUGAGAAGCCCGCAGCCCCCACAUCCAA